AAAUUGAAGAGUUUGAUCAUGGCUCAGAUUGAACGCUGGCGGCAGGCCUAACACAUGCAAGUCGAACGGUAACAGGAAGCAGCUUGCUGCUUCGCUGACGAGUGGCGGACGGGUGAGUAAUGUCUGGGAAACUGCCUGAUGGAGGGGGAUAACUACUGGAAACGGUAGCUAAUACCGCAUAAUGUCGCAAGACCAAAGAGGGGGACCUUCGGGCCUCUUGCCAUCGGAUGUGCCCAGAUGGGAUUAGCUUGUUGGUGGGGUAACGGCUCACCAAGGCGACGAUCCCUAGCUGGUCUGAGAGGAUGACCAGCCACACUGGAACUGAGACACGGUCCAGACUCCUACGGGAGGCAGCAGUGGGGAAUAUUGCACAAUGGGCGCAAGCCUGAUGCAGCCAUGCCGCGUGUAUGAAGAAGGCCUUCGGGUUGUAAAGUACUUUCAGCGGGGAGGAAGGGAGUAAAGUUAAUAUCUUUGCUCAUUGACGUUACCCGCAGAAGAAGCACCGGCUAACUCCGUGCCAGCAGCCGCGGUAAUACGGAGGGUGCAAGCGUUAAUCGGAAUUACUGGGCGUAAAGCGCACGCAGGCGGUUUGUUAAGUCAGAUGUGAAAUCCCCGGGCUCAACCUGGGAACUGCAUCUGAUACUGGCAAGCUUGAGUCUCGUAGAGGGGGGUAGAAUUCCAGGUGUAGCGGUGAAAUGCGUAGAGAUCUGGAGGAAUACCGGUGGCGAAGGCGGCCCCCUGGACGAAGACUGACGCUCAGGUGCGAAAGCGUGGGGAGCAAACAGGAUUA
rnacentral:rRNA from 1 species